CCUACGGGGGGCAGCAGUAGGGAAUUUUCGGCAAUGGGCGCAAGCCUGAACGAGCGAUGCCGCGUGAGUGAAGAAGGCCUUCGGGUCGUAAAGCUCUGUUGCGGGGGAAAAAAGGCAGCAUCAGGAAAUGGGUGCUGACUGAUGGUGCCCCGCCAGAAAGUCACGGCUAACUACGUGCCAGCAGCCGCGGUAAUACGUAGGUGGCGAGCGUUAUCCGGAAUGAUUGGGUGUAAAGGGUGUGCAGGCGGUCCUGCAAGUCUGGAGUGAAACGCAUGAGCUCAACGUGGGAACUGCCUUUGAAACUGGCAAACUGGAGUGUGUGAGAGGAUAGUGGAAUUCCAGGUGUAGGAGUGAAAUCCGUAGAUAUCUGGAGGAACAUCAGUGGCGAAGGCGACUAUCUGGCACAUAACUGACGCUGAGGAGCGAAAGCGUGGGUAGCAAACAGGAUUAGAUACCCUGGUAGUC
rnacentral:rRNA from 1 species